GGCCUCGUAGCUCAGUUGGCUAGAGCGUUGGCUGUGCUAAAACCUCCCACUUGCUGGCAUGGGUUCGAAUCCCACCGAGGUCG
rnacentral:tRNA from 1 species